UCUGCCUUCCGAGUGUUGGGAUUAAAGGCAUGUGCCACCAAUGUCUGGCCCAUGUCUGUUUUUUUGUUUUUUGAGAUAGGGUUUGAAUACAUGGCCUGGCUGGCCAGAAACACAUUAUCCUACUCCCUCAACUUCUUGAGUACUGGGAUUAUAAUACAUGCUGGUAUAAUACAUACCACAUCUGGAACAAAUUCUAAAUACAUCUUGACAGCGAGACUAGCAGAAUUCCAAGUGGUUUGGGCACUGGCAUGAGAAAAAGUGAGUGGUGACUAUUUUUGCCAUGGUAAGGGCAGUUGACAAAAGCGACAAACAAGGGUGAGGAGAAGUAAGGUACAUGCUUCUAGGAAUGACCAGGGGUGAGUAUGGAGAAGAAAAUGGAAAGGAAUCCAGAGGGUGGAGAUUUUAAAAGCUCAGUGUGGUGUCCUGGCAUCAGAAAGGCAUGUUGAGUUUUUUGUAUUUGUUUUUAAUUAUAUAUAUAUCGUGUACUCAAGUGUGUGUUUGUUCAUGUGAGUGCAUUGCCUGGAGAGUCCAUAAGAGGGUGUUAGAUUUCCUGGAGCUGCGGGUUACCCAAAGUGGGUGCUGGGAACCGAACUCAGGUCCUUUGCUAGAGCAAUAUGGGUGCUUAAGCCCUGAACCUUAUCUCUAACUUUUCUUUUUAUUUUUUGAGGCAGGAUCUCAUCCUGAUUGGCAUUGUAGACGAGGUUGGGUAUAUAGACCAGGCUGUCCACAAACUCACAUUGAUCUGGCAAAUUCUUGGAUUUUAAACACAUACCCUACCACCCUUGGACCCAGGGAAGCCUCUUCAUCCAGAGGGAACCAGUGAUCCUGGCCAGUGCAGAACAGUCCACACACCAUCUGGAUCUAAAGGUCUACAGAGGAGCUGUGCUGGGGGAUUGGUUGAGCCUUCUAAUCACUCUAGCCUUCUCUGGGAAGUGGAAGCAAUCAUAGCUGGAGCAUAGCAAUGGCGGCAGCCACACAAACAGACAUCCCACUUACCACAGUGAGAAAUGUACCCAUACUUCUUUAUAAUGAAAGAGAUAUUUCUUUGAUUUUUAAAUAGAUUUUGUUAAUAAUGGGUGAAAACACCACAAUCAUACCUAGCAGUGGUAAAAUAACACUAAUACACAGAUUGGCUUGGAAGCCAGAGAGCAAUACAAUAGGAAGGUAAAAAGCCAGCUUCCAUGCUUCAACCUACAGCUACCAUGAGAGGCAUGUGCCACCACCCUGUGCAUGACACCAGACUUUCUACAGCAGUUGAGAUACGUUUCAUGUCUUCAUUACUAGCAAAUGGAGCAUAGCACAGGUCACAGGUUUCUCCUCUAUCACUAACUGACACACAAGGAUGAAGGAUACCACCACUCAGCCUAAGAAAAGUCAAGAUUUUCUCAUACUUAAUAAAAAUGAUAAGAUCUUUAUUGCAUAUUAGUUUAAAACAAAUUUGCUAAUCUGAUGUGCUAGAACUACGGAGAGAUUAAUAUAAUGUACCGGUGCCUCUGAAUUAAUUGAUGACUAGAAUUUGCACAUCUUGCCAGUGUACUGGUGCUCUUGAUGUAGUUUUCUGAUAGGCAUGACAUUGGCAGCACACGGACAUGAAUGAUGCCUCCUGGGGGACUUUUUGUAGCACACAGUUUUGGGUCUUACAACACUGGUUCAACAUAUUGAGUGCUGUGUUUUGUUGCUUAACUUGAAGAUGUCACUUCUUCUCCAGCCGUGAAGUUUAUGCCCAACUGAGUAGCACAUACCAUUUGUGGACCACUUUGUCUGAACUGGCUUUUAAAUUAUGCGGGACACCCAGGACGCUGAUAUGGCUGUUAGGUACUUGCAGAUGUAAGAUGGAUAGAGCAUUUAAGACCAUCAGGACAGGAACUUUACCGAGAUGCACAUAGUGAUAUGUGUUACGUUUAGUGAGUGUGUCAAAGUCUUGGACUGAUUCAUUUGACUCUAGUCUGGGGAGGUUGAUUGAGGAGAAUUGCUUGUUGGUAGAACACAUAGCUACAAAGGCAGGGCAUUCCUCACAAUAGAAGACAAGUUUCAAAAAGGUAGUUGUAUUGCCUAUUAGACCAAUUUCCCAUGAGUAUUCAAAUCAGAAAUCACAAUGGAAGUACAGGUGAAAAUCGGUUUGUCUCUGUCUUUUAUUUUACACACAAUCCCCUUGAAGUUGUGGCACAUGCUGCUAUAUGGCUAAAAAAAGAAUAAUCAGCUUCCCUUUGUCUCUUCGAUAGCGUCCCUUUUCUACCCUGAGACAUUCCAUGAAGCUUUUCGACAUUUGAAAACUAGAAGGGUACUCUGUAAGUAAGCAAAGCUAUCCUGUAGUUUCUCCUGAAGCUGUUGAGAAAGCUGAACCUAAAGCAAAGUUUUGGUUUUGCAGUCUUCCCACAGGAAAGUGUCUUGUUUUUCCCUUUCAUCUUUAGGUUCCAGUAUGAAUGAAUGAUGGGUGAUUGGGUUCCAGCAAUUUAUGGUGUUCUCUGGGACAGCCAACCCUCUUUGGACAGGUUAUAAUUUGAUAAGGCAGCUUUAAAGCCAGCCACCUCCCCCUGUGUUCCAUGACCACUCACACACCCUGUGUUAUCCGUGAGUUCAGCCUCACCUGCUAAGAGGGUCAUGUGUUUCUGGCUUGUAUUCGCCUACAUCAACUCUGAGAAAGAAUCAGAUUCUGGAAUAUAACCAAAAUUCAUGUUUAUUUGCAUUUUUUUGAACUACAUCUAGGCGAUUUAGUAGAAGAAAAUGUUCCACUCUGUAAAAUAAGUUACAAUUUCAGGGAUAUGCAAGUCAAGAAGGGAAUUUGGUCUGCACGAAGUGCUGGCGCUUCUGUUCAUAUUAAUGUAACAUUUUCCAUGUUUCAAAUCAUUCUAAGGAUGUGUUGCUGUCUCCCAUGCAAUAUUUCUGCCCAAGCAAUGAGGAAUUAGACCCGAAGAAGUUUCAAAUAAUUUCCUUGAGAUUAUAAAGUCAUUAAGUGCUCCCCCCAAAAAACAGGGCUCCAGAUCAACACCUUUUCUCCCUUGAAUAGGUAAUAUACCAUAGAAAUGUGUGUAUCCACAUGGUUACAUUUUCUGUUAUUAAAGAGGCAAACUGAAAGCAAAGAUCUCUCCAUGAGUCUUGCUCUUCACUCGCUCAGGUGGCCCCAUACUAGUCAGUAUUGGCCUGUCCUUUGUCUCGUUCUAGCUGCAAGGUUUGAAUCUGAAAUGUCACCCAUAUACUAGUGUGACUGUUCAGAAAGGUUGCAGAACCUGGAGGAGCUGAGUCAUGUUGGAGGAAGUGGGCCAUUGUGGGCAGGCCUUAAAGGUUUAGUCAGCCUUGCCUCUUCAUCACUCUUUUCCUGACUGACCAUCAGGUGUGACCAGCUAGCCUCCAGUUCCUGCCACCAUGCCUUCCUUGGUAUGUUAGGAUGUAUCUUCUCCAAACUUAAGCCAAAAGAAAUGAAUUCUUCAUUAAAUUAUUUUUGCCAGCUAUUUUAUCACAAGAACAAUAAUUAAGGAAGAAGACUGGUAUCUCAAAGUGGGACUUUUGCUAUGACAGCCCCAACUGUGUGGUUCUUAGGGUUUUGGAACUAGUUUGUAGGUAGAAUAUGGAAAAUUUUGAAAUGUUGGGCUAGAAAAUUUGCCAAAAGUCACAACAGAACUUAAUACACUGUUAUUGUGGGAGUAUGGAAGACCAGAAGGCUGAAAGACAUGAAAAUGUGGAAGCUAAACUUUUGGAGUCUCAGAGGUGAACAAGGGCUCUAUUGGUUACAAGGCUGUAAGUCAUUCAUAGGAUAUUCUGGCAAAGAGGUUGGCUACAUUCUGACCAUGUCCUGAGAACUAGAGGGUGAAUUUAUAAGCAAUAGACUAAUGUGCUUGGUAGAAGGAAUUCCAAGGCAGGACAGGACUCAGUAUUACAUGGCUAUUGCUCGCCACUCUUACACAGAUCUACACUGAAAACAGCAGCACGUGGGGACGGAAAGAUGUAAUGGAAGUGGUUUAUCAAAGAAAGAGCUCAAGCACAUCAGAAUUGCAGUCACAGUGUGUGUUGAAAAGAGCCUGUAGUUGUUAAAGAGAAUCUCCUCUAUGCCAGGACAAUGGGAAAGGUCCUCUGAGAGUAAGACCCCCAUUACAUAAAAGGCUACAGCUUAUGAAAAUGAAAAUUUUUUUAAGAAGACAGAGCCUCAACUCAGAAUUCUGGAUGAGAUCCCUGCUUUUGGAAAAUAAAUGUCUAGGGAAGCGUUUUCUCAGGAUUAGCACACUGAAGCUGUUGCAACUGUAAUCCACUAGGGUCAGUAUCCACCCCAAGCUGGCAGCAGGACUUAACAGCCUCAUUGAUGUGGUGCUGAUUUUGUAAGCAUGAAAGAUGCAAGGUUGAAAGAAUCAUAGAGUCUUACUUCCUGUAUCCUGAGAUGAUUAUGAGCUUAUGAGUGUUGGAAGUAGAAUGAUAUGGUCUGAAUAAAAAAUGCACCCCCAUGGUCUCAUGUGCUUGAAGGUUUGCUGCUCUGGUGAUGGGAAUGUUUGGGAAGCUUGUGAAACCUGAACAGGGUGGAGCUUUUGCCAUGGAGCUUUUGCCAGGAACAAUGGGCCAGAGAGUGUGGGUCUUGAUGUUUUAUAGCCUGACUCCCACUCUUGGUUACUGUCUGCUCAUGAAGACUGUGAGUGAAAUGUGACUAACCUACCUCAAGGUCUCCUCUGCCUUCCCUGCCAUGAUGGACUAUGUACCUUCAGACUGAAAGCCAGAGUAAAUACUUCCUUCAAUUGUUUCCUGUCAUGUAUUUUCUGCUUUUUCUUCCUGAGCCACAACCACUCCCUUUCAUUCUCACUCAUGUUUUAAUUCCUGAAUGCUACUUCCUGCUUUUCUCUUUCUACUUAAGCCUUAGUUACUUCUCUCUUGUUGUUAUAAAACACCCUGACCAAAGAAACUUACAGAAGAAAGUUUAUUUGGUGCUUACAGUUUCAGAGGGUUACUCCACGAUCAUCAUAAUAGGGAGCAUAGCAGCAACAGGUUUGGCCCUGGAUCAGUAGCUGAGAGUUCAUAUCUUUAUCCACAAUUAUGAGGCAGAGAGAACUAAUUGGAAAUGGUGUAGGCUUUUGGAAUCUCAAAGCCCAUCCUAGUCAUAUACCUCCUCCAACAAGGCCAAACCUCCUAAUCCUUCCCAAAUAGUUUCAUAACUGCGAACCAAAUAUUAAAGUAUAUGAUCCUAUGGGGGAUGUUCUCAUUCAAACCACCACUACAUAUAUUGUUAUGCAGACAUUUCCUUGGAAUUGAACAUUCCUUCCUCAAGGAGAAAGGGGUGUUAUGGAAUAUUAGUUAAAGAUGUGUUACAUUUGUUUAUGCUAUGGGACAUUUGUUUACUGAUGCAAUGAUGUGUUGCAUUCUUUUAUAUUGCAUUUCCUUAACUAUGAGAAGCUGUGUUACUUUGCCUGCCUAAAACACCUAAUAAAGAGCUUGUCCAAUAGCUAGGCAGGAGAAAGAAUAGGCAGGGCUGGUAGGCAUAAAAAUAAACAGGAGAAGAAGUCUGGGAAGAAAUGAUUGAGGAGUCACCCAUCUACACAGCAAGCCAUGAAGAAGUAAAGAAAGGCAUAUAUAGGAUAGAGAAAUAUGAAAGUUCAGAGGCAAAAGGGAGACAGGCUAACUUAAGAAAAGCUGGCUAGAAACAAGCCAAGUGAGAGCCGAAAAUUUAUAAGAAAGGAUAUGUCUCUGUGGUUAUUUGGGAGCUGGGUGGUGGGCUCUCAAAGAGCAAAGAGAAAAAAAACUCAACUACCAAGAGCUGGGGCGGGGGUCUCUUAAUACUGAGGAUCUUGAGGAAAGUUGUAAGAAUGAUGAAGUUCUAUCUAUAUUGCUGUACUUUAAAUGAUCCUGCAUGGAAAGCAUAUAAUUGGGCCUAUUGGGUUGAACAAUGAGUUCUGAGAGGUCUAUGUGCAAAUUACUGGGUUCUUUGCAAGUUACCACUCAUGACAAAGGAGGCUUUGUAGAUGUAACUAAAGAGCUUGCGGUGACAGAAGAUGAUCUUCCAUUUCCAGUUAAACCCCAAAUAUGAUCACGAGUCGUAUAAGGCAAAGACAGAGAGUUUUGAUAGAAAAGAGAAAGUUAGGUAAAAGAACCAGAGAGGAAUUUGAAGAUAAAGGCUGCCAGCUGUUGAGGAGUAGGAAGAGGCUGCGAUUCAGAUUCAAGGAAUGCAGGCGGCAGAUGGGUCAGUGGAUAAAGUACUUGCUGCUUGGUCCGUAUCAUCUGGAGUAAGAUCAUUUGGUAGCAGUUCUUGACUCUGAACAUGUGUAUUUAUUAAAUAUUCAGCAAGCAUCAGCAAAAGAAUAAAUAGGAAAAGUGGACAAAUAGCAAAACAUCGUCUGAUCACAGUUUGACAGCAUCCAGCAAGGACAAUUGUAGCCACCAAAUGAGAGCAAGCAAGAGUGACAUCAUCAAUACUAAUUCAAGCUUCCAUGCACCCAGUUGAAAAUGGCUGGGAAAAGUGAGGUGGUCACCUAGAGUUUCCAGCUGAGCUUCUCUCAAUGGAUGAGCAUCCAGCUUCCUGUUCCCAUGACAGACAGGCAGCCAUUUUUAUAUCAUGGGAUUAAACAAGGGUAUAUCUGUUGGAAAUGGUUCACUUCCAGUUGUUCUCAAGGCACAGUAUUUUAAUACCCUUGGCUGUUUGUACUUUCUUCUUCUCUCACUUACAGUGUCAGGGGCCAGCCUGACCCAGGACAGGGAGUUUCAGAGGAUGCUUGACAUAAACAUUUCAGUCUGUUGUAGGGGGCACAUUCUCAGUGAGUUCAGACAUCACAUGGCAGUUUACCAAGCUAAUUUACAUUAUACAAUGCAAGAAUGAGGACAAUGAGCUGGAAUCCCUAGCAUGUAUGUAAGUACUGGGUGGGCAUGUUAGCUCACUUGUAAUUCCAGUGUUAAGAAGGCUGAGACAGGGAACUCCCAGAAUUUAGAUGCUAGUUAGUUAGACUAGUCAUAUUGACCAGUUCUGUGUUCAAUUAAUAGACCUUGUCUCAAUGAAUAAGGUGGGAAGCAAUCAAGGAAGACUACUGAGAUUAAUCUCAGGCUUCUAUACAGAAGUACACACUUCCAUGCACUUUCUCACACACACGUGAACAUGCACAACACAAGUCAAAACAUUCAAAGUAAAAACUAUGUAAAAUAAGACACAGAUUCUCUCCAACAGCCUCCUUUGGGGACACUUCUCCACUGAGCUAUUUUUCACUUUAGCCCAGCAAAACUGAUGAAGGACUUGGCCUCUAGACUAAUAAGAGAAUAAACUAUGUUAUUUCAAGUCUGUGAAGUUGCGAUAAUACGUUACAACAUCAAUAGGAACCAUCACGUUGAGUUCUAACGUUUGAUCUUAUCUUAUUCUUCCGGUUCGUUAUUUUUUAAAGAUAUGUUAGUGCUUAUGUGAGUCAUUAAUUUUUCUUGUGUUUUUCAUUUUUUAUUUACCUUCUUGUCUUCUUACAGGUUACUGUGGCGCCUUUGGACUGCUACUUGAGUUCAUCUAUCAUGUCUCUGUAGCGCUGAUUUUGCAUGCUCUAACUGUUAUACACUCUCCAUCAAGUGAGGGUGGGUGAGGGUACCUACCUGCUAAUGGGAGAUCCUGCUGUUACCACUUCCCAUUAGGCUUCUUCUAGUGUCACUCAAGCAACAAGGGAGAGUUGCCCCACUGCAGAUAACAAUGGUGGACAUUUGAACUCCACACCACAUUACCAUGGGCACCAUAAGAAGAAUUACUUUGUUUCCCUCUACUAGGGUUUGAAAUCUCAUCUCCUUAUUGUUCUUCAUUGAUAUCACAAUGGCAGGAAAUUUUAGGUGUUCCUUGUGACCUGGUGUGGGUAGAAUUCUAGGUUCCCAUUCAGUUUUUGCUUGUGUGGAUGGACCUCAAGAUGCUGGUUCUCCUAUGGUAUCUAAACAUUUUCUGACUUGAGAGUCUUUACCUUUCUUGGUCAUUUUGGGGGGCAUUUUGCUUGAAGUCAUUGACUUUUUCAUUUUAUAUUUAUUCAAGCCCAUGUCUAGGUCAUAUGAGGAGAAAGCAAAUCCAGGGAGUUAAUCUCUGUGUCUUACAUUUGGUCCUAAGUUCCUUUACUGCGCUGCAUUCUCUCUCCAUUAUUUAGAGUCUUCUUAUAUUUCUUACAAUGUAUAUAAAGUAUCUCAGUGCUUUACUUACAGGUUACAAGAGAAAUAAGAAACACAGCCUGGUAAGUAAUGUUCCAUCUUUCUAGAUGCAAAGUCCAUUCAACAUUUUACCCUCCAGCACGUCAUGGGAAACCACGUCAAGCCAACUUCUGGCUGCUGUAGUCCAGUGAGAUGCACCAUUUUUACCACGAAGGGCCUCUGAUACAGUUAACAGUCUAGAUAGGCUGCGGCAGUAUCUGCACCACAGACCCUGACAGGAGCCACUCACAUCCCUCUGCCUGGGUGACAGCUAUGGUGUGCUGCUGAGCUGCUAGCCCUGCUUGCGGCCUCUCUCCUCAUCAUGGUGGGAGUCUCUGCAUGAUUUAACAUCCAUUGAGACAGACCCAAACCAGCAACUGAAUGGAGUAGUAGUUGUGUGUGUGCUCCAGUUACCUUCACCCUUCCACUUAGGGACAACUCUGAGACAACUUAUCUUCUAUCUAGAAUUUUCCUCCUGGAUGAAGGUUCACUUGUCCACAGUGGUAGGAGGGCUGGGAUGCACACUUAUGGAUUGACUCCCCUUGUCUGUUUCAUUUUUUAUACCUCCAAGACACAUGUCCUGGGUCUUCACCACAUAGUCGGCCGUGCCUCCUUUACUGCACACAGCUAGCCUUCAGGUUUGGUUCCCAGUGAUGGAGACAUUUGGUGUGGGACCUACCUUGAAGAAACAUCACUCAGGGCCUCUGAAGUUCAUAUCUGAACCCCGCUCUCUUCUCUCUCUGCUUCUUUUAAACCAUGAAGACUAGUGACUGCCUUGAUUGGGAGAGUGAGAGUGACAUCUUCUCUCAGCUCCUUGAUGCCAUGUGGACACACUGUCAGGAAGAGCUUCCAUCAGGAGGAAAACGACGCAGGGAAAAGCGAGCCUGGUCACCUGAAGCACCUGAAGCCGCAAGAUUUUGUGUGGCACUAAUCAUCUUGUGAGCAAAUGGCGGAGAUGUGCUUUGCGGCGUGUUCCAGGCACAAAUGCUGCAACAUGCAGGGGUGCUAGGUCCCUGACAGUGUCAUAUUAAUUUAUGGCAAGUAAACAGCCAUUACCAGGAUUCAUAAAAGGGAUAAUUAAUGGUAUUGUUAGCUUUUAAAAAAUAGAAAAUAAAUGGCCACUUACUAGUGGUUUUGAAAUGCUAAUGAAUUACUGUGGGAUCACUUCCAGUGUGUCACGUUUAUCUCCCCAAAGCCAGUUCUGCACAUGCAGUGUAGAAUUCUCCUGGCUGUUACUCCUAAGUUGACCUUCCUAGCAUAUUGUAAAGGAAAAUGGAAGACUGUCCUUUGGAGACCCCCUUGGUGGUGGUCUUAGGUGGGGUGCUUUCUGGCAGGGCAAGGUGGGCAGAAAUCCCUGUUGGGGGAUGAUUUGCUAAUAUUUAUAAUUUUAAAUAUAAAUUUAAAAAUAAUUAUUAUGUGUGUGUGCAUACACAUGCACAUCAAUUACAUUUCGAGUGUGGAGCUCAGGGAAGAACUUUUAGGAAUUGGCUUCUCUCCUUGCACUGGGGUUCAGGGCAUGGAACACGGGGGCUCAGGCUUGCAAGGCAGGGACUUUUACCCCUGGUGCAUCUCAAUGGCCUGAUUUGCUGGUGUUUCUAAAAAGGUAUUGAAGAACAGGCAACAGAAUGAUCUACAAGUUAGGUGAGGCAUGGGAAUUCAGCAAAAAAUACAAUAGUGAACUGUGGUGGAAUCCAGUUGGUAAAGUGCUCAUUUUGAAAGCACGGAGACCUGAGUUCAAUUCCCUUAAUCCAUGUAAAAAAACCUGUGGCACAAGUCCACAUAAUUCCAACAUUGGAGAAGCAGAGGCAGUCUGCUCUUGAGACAAAUCCCUAAGCCUCUGGUUCCAGUGAGAGACUCUGUUUCGAAACAGUGUGGGUGAUUCCCAUGGAAGGGUAUCCAAGGCUGACCUCUGACAUGGAUAUACAUGUAGACACCACCCCCACUAAAUGCACUAAAACAAGAUGACAGAUGAAAUGAAAUCAGCCUUUAGAAACUACAUUUCUCAAAGUCAGGACAUCACCUUCUGGUCUUCUGCUUCUGGUCUGGACCGUUUGGGAAAUACUGCAGGAGGAACUGUUGUUCCAUGGGGUUCAAAGCUUUGUUAUCUUCCAAAUUACUCAUCCCUAAGCAUUCUUGAACAUUUUGUCAUUGGUUCCGAUUCUCCUAUGUUCACAAUGCAUAUUCAUACUUCAAAAAAAGAAAAAGACCCUGCCUCUCUCCCUUUUUCCCCACCCCCUCCUCAGCUGACCUCCAGGGCAGAGGCAAACAAAGGACUCUGUCCUUAUUCUUCCAGGAGCAAAGAUGAGCACACUAGCUCACCAUGCCACCCAGUCACUCGAUUUUGCAGCCUUGCCUUGGUCAAUUGUGAUGAGGACAGCUCUUCCAUAGGACCCAGUAGAGACAUAUUGGUCCGUGGGAAACAGGGAAGCCCAAUCUAGCCCCGUGGUUAGAGAGUUCUCAUCACAAAUUUGCUCAAGCACUUUCCACAGGCCCGUCUCAUUUUAUUUUCCCUCAAUUCAUGGGUUUUAAGAAUUAGAGCUGUUGGGUAGCCCCUUCUGCUAAUGUCAAAGGUUCAGUGUUCAGCACUGAAGAAAUCUCAAGUAAACAGACUUGUCUCCAACCUCCACUAGCCCAAAAAACUUUCACAAAGGAGCACAAAGCGACCUGUGCAAGACAAACAAACAUACAUACAUACAUACAUACAUACAUACAUACAUACAUACACCCAGUCCAGGAAGCAGUCACAUUUGGGGAAAGCUUUGGGGAAAGCUUUUUUGUUUACUAAGGCCCAUGAAGAGGUUCCCCUCACCCCUCCUUCUAAAUUAGCAGCAGCAGUGUGCUGCCUUGGAACACAGAGGGUACCAGGAGCCCUUGGGACACUUCUCUUGCUUCCACAGUUAAAGGAAAAGCUGCUUUAAUUGCACUGCAAUCUUUAGAGGAAGGCCCACUGCAGUCCACACUUUGAGGAUUUAUACAUGGCUCUUACUAACUCCACAAUUAUACGUUUGAAAUAUAAACAGCUCAGUGGCAAUUGGCUUCAUUUUUUGCUCUUGUUUUAAAACUCAUCCUUCUCCUACCUUUGAAGUGCACAGAGCUCUCUUAGUCACCGGGCAUUCUGGAUGGCAAAAUGUUAAGCAGGAGAACUUAUUUUUUGUGCUAACAAAUGUUUUCCUUAGAGAUUAAAAAAACAUUUUAGACAGAACUUUUAAAAAAAGGUAUAAAUCAAGUCAGAUGGAGGAGAAAUUCCCCCAAGGAACAAUGUCUUUAUCUACAAGAUGCUUCGGGUCUCCAAGAUGCUCCAAGAGGGUACAGCUUCUACAGACAGGGGGGAUGGCCAUGGAGACAUGCAGUCAAAGAAGCUUUUCCUCUAAGGGGAUUUAUUACAAUGCUAAAAAGGGCAAGCAGUAGGGGCUGACUGUGUGGCUGUGUGGCAGAGAACUCGCCUAGCAUGCAAGGCCUUGGGUUCCAUCCCCAGCAACAAAGAUGAAAAAAUAAGGGCAGAUAAUGAUAAGGUAAUAAGGUACAGAAUUAACAAGACAAUCUCAGCACCUUUAAAAAGGUUUCUAGCCAGCAUUCUGCCAUUGCAUAUGAAUAGCUGAGAGCCAUUUCUCCUGGGCUCUGAUCAGCAGAUUUGAUAUAUGGAUUGCGAUCAAUUUUUUCUUAUGGCAAAUCUAUAUGUUAUUCUCUGUCUUCAUUUGGUGCUAUUUGCUGAGUGGCUGUUACUUGGGGGCAGAGGUCGCUCUCUGGCAGUGGAGGCAGCCGGGUAAUCUUUUAGUCUUCAUAAGAAGACUGCGAGAUAUUAAAUCACACUUGACGUACCUGAGGCCCAGCAACUUCAUCCAUAUUUUAUCUGCUGUAAAUUUAAUACCACAGCACUUUUUAGGGUGAUGUAUUUAUUAACUGGCUGGGGAUGAGCAGUACAGAAAUUCAGUUUGUUCAGGAAAAUAAAAUGAAGACAGUCUGACAAGUUUGAGAAGUAAGCACAAUGGCUAUUUAUUACUUUUUAAACACACGGUUUGUUGAAAUGUCUUUAGCAGUGUUUGUUCAAUAAAUGCAGAAUGCUUUCUAAA